ACAGGAUCAAUGAUGUAAUGACUAAACUGCGUUAUCUUUCUGUAAUUCCUUUAGCGGGAUUGAAGAUGCUAACAUUAUUCUGAGAUCUAUU